GAAGGUACAGCUCAGUGGUAGAGUGCAAGCUUAGCAUGCAUGAGGUCAUGGGUUCAAUUCCCAGUACCUUCA
rnacentral:tRNA from 1 species